CUUUGUGUGCUUAUAUACAUUUAUAUAUAUAUUGCCAGAUGCGUUGGUACUCACUUGGACAACACCGCCUUGCUUCACUAGUAAUGUCUAGAGGGUCGUCAAGCGGAAAGGGUUUCGGGACUGGGAGAGGAAAGGGGGUACAAAAGAGACCUCCUAUUGUGUGGGAUAGACUGGUUGGUCCUGAAUCUUAUCCGGAAGCAGUGUUUGAGUUUCUAGUAGAGAGCAAGACUGAUUUCUGCCCCAACAAUCCUCUCUGAGGAUACGAUAACUGCAAAGAAGAUUGGCCAAAAUGCAAGCACGGUGAGGACUGCUUAGUGCAGAUGACGACCGAGGGUUCCAAAGGAGGCCAAUGUUUCUUCAAAUGCCCGCGUGCAUGGUCUUCCAAGGCUCCGAAAAACUGCAGGUUUGUUAGGUGGGUGGAUCCUCCUGCUAUUCAUCCUCAUCAUGAGUACAUCGAAUACCUUCACAACCGGAUCUUCGAUCUAGAAUUGAGUUUCCCUAACGGUGAAAACGACACGGAAGACGAUGACAAUAGCAAUGAUGCAGUUUCACAUGAGACCAUCUGCACUGAUCCUAAUUGCAACUUCCCUUGUCACAACAACAAGGGGCCUCCGCCACCGUCGUCGGAACCUACAAUUCAAGGAUACUAUGGCGAAGGUGCCACACAAUUUGCUACCCCGGCCGCGUUUUUUGUUGCCUGGCGCAAAAUCUCGACAUCACAGGACCUAGUCACCAUUUGGAUUCAGAAACAAAUUCAGCAACAACUUCGUUUUUUUUAAAAAAGGUCAGCAAUAACUAUUGGAUCUCUCCAUUUUCUUUUUUCAUAGGACAGAGAAUCCCUCCAUUUGAAGUGGUCGCUUCGACGAUAGGGUAUGCUUGAAACACAGAGGACUCAGUAAUGCCAGCUUUGAGACCACAUGAGAGUCCUUGGGGAUAAAAUAAAAUGGAAGGGUAUUGCCUUGCUGUUUCAAGGGAAAAUCCUAUGUGAGGCAAGCCCUUGCUGUAAUACAAAUUUUCAGCAGGUUAGAGCGAUUGUUGCCGGUAUAAUUAGGGUUUAGAGCUGAGAUUUGCCCUAGUCUCUACUUUCAGCACGUAGUUUGUUCUGCGCAGUCACUAUUGUUAAAAGUUUUACAUCUUCAUGGCAUUAUAAAAAUAUCAAUCCUUUACAUAAGUGCAGAGUUUUUUCUCAGCUUCCCCUCCCCGUAGCAACACAUGGAGUAUCAUCUAGUUAUACUAUAUUUUUUCGUUGCUUGCCCACAUUAGGUGGCUACGUUCCCUAUCAUGAACACCCAUAAGAGCAGCGCAUGCCUUCUUGAUGGCAUUCAACUCCUCAACCACACUGUCCAUCUUGAUUCUUUGCCUUGGAGAGCCCUGGCAGCAUGCUAGAGCAAGUCUAACCACAGGAUGAAUGACCAAAUCCAUGACAUCUUGGGUGUUUCCACUGUAGGUUGCACUAGCAUCCAGUAUUUCCAGUAAUUUGUUUGGAUAGGCCAUCUUCACGUGAUUGACUAGACUUGUCUCACCAAGGUUGAAACUGUCAGUUGGCCUCUUUCCGGUAAGCAUUUCAAUAGCAACACCCCAUAGCUAUAUAUGUCACCAUCCGUGGACACCCCAUACCCUGAGCCAUACUCUGAAAGCAUAUAUAAAUGAAGGAUUUAGCGGUUAACUAAUGAGUAGUAAAAGAAGUGGGUUUCACACUACAAUUUCACUUGGGUAAAUAAAACACUGAUAUUACCAUUUUUUCACUAGAGGAAAAAACUAUUGAAAA